rnacentral:lncRNA from 1 species
AGCCAGGAGUACCACUUACCUGGCUGCAAGUCUUCCCCCUUAUGGAGGAACACUACGACCCGUUCCUCCCAGCGAGAACCCCCCGACACUAAACAUCAUGCGCAUGGAACUAUAAGAAUCAGUUCACUUGGAUUCAUCGCCUAGGAAGACAUCACCAUUUGCCACUUCAUACCAACAUCGCACAGUUAACCAUCACUCAGAACCAGUUUGGCUUACAUAUGAAUACCGACAAAGCAAGCAAGAUUUUCCCGGCACUACUGCAAAGAAACCGGCAUAUGUCACCGCACCUGCGUCCUGCCACACAAAUCUGAAAAGUAAAAUGAAUGCGCAAAGAUCUGAUUUAUUGGCAACACAAUAUUCUGGAAACUAGCUUAUUGCCGAUCAUCAAUUGUCGGGGGGAAAGGGGGCCGCGGCAGCCAGGCAGACCACCCGCCUGGCUGAAGAUUUACCCCAUCAUGGAGGAACACUGCCACCCGUUCCUCCGCACAGUUUCACCGCAUCGUCUCGAAUACGCAGCAGAAGAUUACGCCACAACUAUUUUACCUAUUACUACUAAAAUAGUAUAUUCUGCUUCCUGCGUUCCAAGCUUGGUGGAGCUUGACGAUUACUUCAUAGAGUCAUAAACAUGGAAAGACAUCAUGGACUGCGACUAGACGAGGGGCAGCAACUGUAGCAGCUUCAGUAUCCAGCGAUCGCUGGCUACCAAGAGGGUCGCGCGGUGACGGUGAGCAGUCACAAGUUGUUGCUUGGAGAAGGAUUAGACAGAAGAAUUCUUCUCAUCACUAGUCUGCAAGCAGCGAUCGCCAAAUAUACAACAUAAAGAAGAGACGUCAGAGCUGCGGUGCAGAGACUAUUUGGAAGAGAGACAGAACCGAAGAAGACGAUCUUCCGCGGGCUUACAUUGUAGAUUUAAGGCGUUCUUUUGUAAAACACCUAAUGUACCUAAUAUAAGUGUUGUAAGCUACCAUUUACAACACUGAUAUGACAUGCGUUGAAUUAGUAUUAAGGUAUUUUUGUAAUAUUCGACAUAAUGUCAACAUUUUUAUUCCGAGUUACAAGUCUCUCGUUGUUCGGUUCACUUAUUUUUUUCAAAUUGUUAUCGGAUUUCUCUAUUCACAUUUACGGCAAUUAUUGGCAUAACACUGAGAAGGAAGGGGCAUGCAUGAGGUGCUUAGCUCUGUGUUUCCUCCGGUACCGAUGUGUUCCAUAAUACUUUAUUGUACAUGCUCCUCUUCAGGAGCUUACCUAUUGGUAAGCUCCUGAAGAGGAGAAUGUAGUAUUCUGUUUGCAGCAUUAGUUUCUACUAUCUAAACUACGUGUUCGGUGAUCGUACUCGGAUGAGACCAAUUAGCUGUGUGCGGUCCCACAUCUCACCAGAGUCUGCGUCUGCAGCGGUAAAUGGAAACUUCAGCUCGGACCUCAAGAGCACCUCGCCGGCGCUCUCGGCGGCGACUCUUCACGACUAGCGCAGAUCUUCCAGGUCCUAUCAAACACAAAGUGACAAGCGUCGAUGAAGGCGGUAGUACUGCGGCGGCGGUCUUCGCAGAACAGCUGGCGACGAGCUGGUGGUCGCGUCUGUGUCCUGGAGUCAGCCACACACGUGGCACACGUGGCACGCCAGGAUCACUGACGUCACGUAGCGGCGCGUGAUGCAUCAGGCACGCGUCCGCGUGGUCGGAGGCCAGCUCGCCAGGACACCCGCGUGGGUGAGGGGCGCCAACCGUUGCGCUACCCAAAUGUACGGAGUGAGCGCCCACACCUCAUGCGAUGGGGCCGCAGAAUUGUAAUAAUUAUAGAUAUCCAUAUGAGUUUAGGUUCGCGGAAAAAUUACAAUCGCAAAAUAUACAAGUUGUUUGUCUCUAUUUACUGCGAAAAUUCCUACAUUUUGUAUUGUACCUAUUUUGAUAUGGAUCAUAAUUGUUAAAUGUAUUUUCUAUGUUUUUCUUACAGCGUUGUAUAAAAAGUAAACAACAUAACCUUAAUGUGCAAUAAAAUUUUAAAUGAUGUGUGUUUUAUUACAUUUAGUUACGGCAGUAUUUAACAUUAAAUUUGUUUCAUAUACCGUGUUAAUAUGUAUUUAUUACAUUUGUAAUAAAUAGUAUUUGCCAUUAUUUCGUUUCCCUUAAACAUUUUUACAUGUUAUACUAUGACUUACUUAUUGCCUUUUAUUACAGCUUGCGGUUGGAAACUUUUUUGUGAUUUAUACUUACAACACUGAUUUGUUACUAAUAUUAAUGUUGUAAUAUGAAUGUACUUUUUAUAUGCAAUACAAUAAGUUGUUUUUCUUUGUAUUUUAGAAUAACUUAAUUUAUAAGAAACUAGUAGAACACUUAUGCAAAUAUGUCAUGAUUAUACUUACCUUUUUCCAAAUGACACCUUAGCUCGAACACGUAAAAUAAGGCUGAAUAUAACAUCAGUAAAUAAUAUUGCAGCAAACUUAAGAUGGCUCCCAUCCUGUCUGAUACGCUAGCGUCAGUUUUUGAAAAGGCCCUAUAAUCUAAGAUCUCGUACAGAAUAUUUAUUAUCUGCAUCUGUUGCCUUACUGUGCUGCACUAUGUGCAUUCUUUUGUCCUUAGUGUCCAGUCUGCGCUACUCUGCGAAUACUCCUGCGCUCUUCACUCCUCUCGCCUCGGCAGCGUCUGAGGCACAUCGCUACUGUGCAAAGUCCUGUCUGUAGAACUGAAGUACUUCAAUAAACUUCCAACCAGUCCCGCCAUGUUCUGAACGCUCCUAGGCGUGCGCCGCGAUGUGAACGUCUCUUUAUAGACCGUGCUGGCACUCCGGGCCGGAGACCACUUCAGCGCCAGUUUCCGGUCGCGACCGAGGGUCUCCUCUUCCGGCACUGGCAUCAGAGCACAGCACGCCUGUGAGCUGCACCACCACUAGCGGGCCACCUGACACUCAUAUUAAAAGAACUCAUUUUGAGCACGCUGGUGGAAUGGAGGUAAAGGAAUCACGUAUCUCGAAACCGGAGACAGCACAUCUAGUGUCAGCACUAGUUAAUGAAACAGUCGUAAGUACAUAAUGCGAGUUCCUGGUCCUCGUCGACAUAUAAUGUUUAAAACUACAGUCCGUACCACUAACCCAUAUACAUUGGAAUUGAAUUCGUCUACAAACUGUUAUCGAACACUGAGAUCAUGAAAACCGUCGGCAGGAAAUAGACCAAAACCUCUGUCAAGGUCCUUCCUAAUCGAAACAAUCAAAAUAUUCCGCCGCUAGACUUAAAGCAAUCUUAAUGAGCACUGACAUCGCCAAUCCCCGUGUUUAGGGCGAGAUGUUUGUGGGAAAUGAAUUUGACAUGAUUAAAAAUAUUGUCGUCACUCGUGAGACAGCAGCUUAAUGUAGUCAUGGACAGCAAUGUCAAAGCAAGAAUUUGCGGGGCAUUAAGAGACAGUAACUAAGAUCUCAGGGUGACAAGCACAGUGCUGUUGCUACUGUUUAUUGACAGUUGUGACGGUUAGCGUCAGGCGCACAACUUGCUUGUAUUAUCUUUCACUUCUUUAAGAAAAGCUACUGGGAAUGGGAUGCUUUUGCACAAAGGUAGGAAAGGAGAGCAAAAUCAAAAGAAUCAAUGCACGGAAGGUGUUGAAUGAAACAUAGUCAAGGCAACUUUCACUCACUACCGUUUAGUUCAUUCACUUUUAAUAAUUAUGUAAAGUAUUGUCACCCAUCGCCACGUUUAUACCACAGUGUGAUGUCUGUUAUGGUACGUGGCUGUACGAAAGCAUGCAAGCGAAGCCAGGUAUCUUCUGACAGUGAUUAGUAAUAUGUACUUAGCACCAAUGAACUUACACAGUUACCCGCAUACGUUCAUAUUCAUGUAAGCAUGCUUUUUAUAGCACGUUAUUUCAGGCACAAAGCAUGUACGCUACAAGUUGUUUUAUAAUUAUUAUGUGUUAGUAUACGCAAAACUUGUAAAAAAAUUGUCAGUAACGCAUUCAUGUCACCAACAUGUCUUAUACUGCAUAAUUCUGACCAGUAAACUACGCAACAUGUAUAAUACAUGCUUCUGACAUGUCGAGUUUGAGCAAGUUUCUGACAAACUGCAUACAUGCUUUAACAAAACCAACUUUUGGUUUAAACGAGGUGAUUUGCAUUUAUAAUCAAAUAAUAUUAUCUUUAUUCACUCAAAACUUCCAAACUGCUGGAAGAGUAGGUUUGAGAAGUUUCAACAUAUUUAGUGGUUAUUACUAGUAAUGUAAGUCACUUUACGACUUUGUUUAACUGCCCUCAAUGUAGCGAAUGGGCAUGAUUGGUUGCUGUUUAAUAAAGUACAGCACUUAGUUCUGACGUAUUUUAGAUGAGUGUCACAUUACAAGACAUGCUCUAUCGCAUAUGAGGAUGAUGUAUAGAUUAUAUAUAAAUGUACGAGAUGAGUGUCCGGUUGGAACUCACGGCAUAGUUAGCGUAAGUAAACAUAGUUGUAAUCAGACUGCACGUGGCCACAACUGCAGCGAAACCGUAGUUUGUGUUUAAAUACUUAUCAUGUAACGAAGCGUUAUGAUUGUUUGACGGAGUAUAGUAAUUAUUGCGUUUGUGUGUUAUGUUGGUGAUAAGUAGUGACGCGUAUGUACAAUGAUCAUUGUCUACUUUAUAUUUACUAUGUGUGUACUAACUGUAAUUUUAUAAUAUAUUUUUGUAUGUAUGUGUGUUUUAUAGCGUUUAUAAAAUAAUCAUGUAAAAUUAAAAUAAGUGGCAGGAGCCAUUAUUCAAUUCACAUAUAGUCAACGCUAUAAGUUUACGAAUAAAUCCAAAUGUAUUAUGUUAUUUGUGUGUGUAUCCAAAUAUGUAUUGUAUUUGUAUCCAAAUGUAGUAUGAUAUUACUAUAUCCGCCUUUAGGAGACAUACAUCGGCGGAUUAUACAAGAGCUAAACAUCUAACCAAGCUUACACUACAAAUUUCGGAGAACUUGAAACAAAUGUACUGUACAAUGCAAUGUGGAAUGCACUGCACAAGUUCUGUUGUACACUGCACAAUGCACUGCGCAUCGCACAAAGCAUUAAAUUACAACGUUGAGCUAAUUAAACACACCGCGCAUUAUUUGUGUAAUAAUUUUACUGCACUAUAAAUUGUGUACUAAAACUGAAACCCAAAUCCUAAUGCUUGUCAGUGUCACAGAUCUUAACACAUUGAUAUACAUUCAAUCAGGUUCACCAAUUUGAUCAACUACUUAUUUAUAAUUGUUCUUGUUCGUUGAUCAACAUUAAAGUACUUACCUACUUUUAAUUACAUCCAAAUGGAUAAUUGUGAAUGUUUAUCGAUUUGAAAUGUCAAUGAAAAUCGUGUGUAAUGUAUAUUGGAAAAAUAAAUAUAUUCGAACUAUUAACCUUUGAGUAUUCUAUUAAAUAUUCUGUGAUUACAAA